rnacentral:rRNA from 1 species
AACCCGGAUGAUCUAACCAUGGCCAGUGUGAAGCUUAGGUAACACUAAGUGGAGGUACCAACCGACUGUUGUUGAAAAAACAGCGGAUGAGUUGUGGUUAGGGGUGAAAUUCCAAUCGAAUCCGGAGCUAGCUGGAUCUCCCCGAAAUGCGUUGAGGCGCAGCGGUUAAUGUUUCUUCUUAGGGGUAAAGCUACUGUUUUGGUGCGGGCUGCGAGAGCGGUACCAAAUCAAGGCAAACUCUGAAUACUAAGACGUUUAGUUAACCAGUGAGACAUUGGGGGAUAAGCUUCAGUGUCAAGAGGGAAACAGCCCAGAUUACUAGCUAAGGCCCCUAAAUAAUUACUAAGUGGUAAAGGAGGUGGGAUUGCAGAGACAAUCAGGAGGUUUGCCCAGAAGCAGCAAUCCUUUAAAGAGUGCGUAAUAGCUCACUGUUCGAGUGAUCCUGCGCCGAAAAUGACUGGGACUAAGUAAUUUGCCGAAGCUGUAAGAUGUCAAAACAUCGGUAGGGGAGCGUUCUACAUUAGUUUGAAGCGUUAACGAAAGUGGGCGUGGACGAAGUAGAAGUGAGAAUGUUAGCUUGAGUAGCGAAAACAUUGGUGAGAAUCCAAUGCCCCGAAAACCUAAGGGUUCCUCCGGAAGGCUCGUCCGCGGAGGGUGAGUCAGGUCCUAAGGUAAGGCUGAAAAGCGUAGUCGAUGGAUAACAGGUUAAUAUUCCUGUACUGUUUAUUGUUGGUAAAGGGGGACGGAGAAGGCUAGGUUGACCGAAUUUUGGUUAUCGGCUUAAGUAUUCGAGGUGUUGAGGAUUGGCGAAAACAAUCUGAGCUGAGAUGCGAAUAGGAAAGUGCUAAGGUACUAAACCAACUGAUGUCAUGCUUCCAAGAAAAGCCCUAACUACCAUAAGCAAUAAAUACCUGUACCCUAAACCGACACAGGUGGGUAAGUAGAGUAUACUAAGGGGCGCGAGAUAACUCUCUCUAAGGAACUCGGCAAAAUGGCCUCGUAACUUCGGGAGAAGAGGUACCCUUAAUGGGUUGCAAGAACCAGACGCUGGCGACUGUUUACCAAAAACACAGGUCUCCGCAAAGUCGUAAGACGAUAUAUGGGGGCUGACACCUGCCCAGUGCCGGAAGGUUAAGGAAGCUUGUUAGUCUUUGACGAAGCUCGCGACCGAAGCCCCGGUGAACGGCGGCCGUAACUAUAACGGUCCUAAGGUAGCGAAAUUCCUUGUCGGGUAAGUUCCGACCCGCACGAAAGGUGUAACGAUCUGCGUACUGUCUCGGAGAGAGACUCGGCGAAAUAGACUUGUCUGUGAAGAUGCGGA